GCUAGAUUAUUUAAGCUGGUGGUUAAUAAUACCCACACACAAGCCGCCCUGUCAGACCAGUGUCGGUCCGCGCUUUUGAAACAAUUAUAUAUCAUUAGAAAUCUCUUCGACCUUUUAACUGUAGCGUUUUUGAGGACGUAAGAUGAAUAUAGGCGAGCUUUUUCUGUAAUUUUGGUACAACGUACAACAAUACAAGGUACAACGAGUCAACAAAUGGUUUAGAAGAGCUUGUGCCAAAAUCUAUACACGAUUUCAGCAUGGAUUGUUGGCCUUCUACUGCGAGUGUCUUGCUCGCUCUUGUUUCACUGGCGUGUGGCCAGCCAGGUACGGGGCCACUACCAGGGUCACCGGAACCUCCCACAAUGUCGGCGGUGGGAGACAGAGUAUCGCCGACUGAGAUCAGCCUGCAGGCCGGUAGUGGUGCGUUCAACAGCCCGGGCUUUCCAGAGAAAUAUCCAAACAACACAAACAUCCGUUGGCAAAUUGAAGCCAGUUCUGACCACUGCGUACAUUUGACGUUCGACCAGUUUGACGUGGAAAAGUCGGAGAUCAACCCGAACUGUACGUGGGACUACGUAGCUGUGUACGAUCGUGAUGUAAUAAA